GGAGGGUGCAAGCGUUAAUCGGAAUUACUGGGCGUAAAGCGCACGCAGGCGGUCUGUCAAGUCGGAUGUGAAAUCCCCGGGCUUAACCUGGGAACUGCAUUCGAAACUGGCAGGCUGGAGUCUUGUAGAGGGGGGUAGAAUUCCAGGUGUAGCGGUGAAAUGCGUAGAGAUCUGGAGGAAUACCGGUGGCGAAGGCGGCCCCCUGGACAAAGACUGACGCUCAGGUGCGAAAGCGUGGGGAGCAAACAGGAUUAGAUACCCUGGUAGUCCACGCCGUAAACGAUGUCGACUUGGAGGUUGUUCCCUUGAGGAGUGGCUUCCGGAGCUAACGCGUUAAGUCGACCGCCUGGGGAGUACGGCCGCAAGGUUAAAACUCAAAUGAAUUGACGGGGGCCCGCACAAGCGGUGGAGCAUGUGGUUUAAUUCGAUGCAACGCGAAGAACCUUACCUACUCUUGACAUCCAGAGAACUUAGCAGAGAUGCUUUGGUGCCUUCGGGAACUCUGAGACAGGUGC
rnacentral:rRNA from 1 species